UCAGACUGGAACUGCUGCAAAGCCACUGCCGCAGAGACAAACUAGGAAAGGCAGAUGGAUUACUGUAGGAUCUGGUAGACUUAGAGUUGUGGAUAAAAGGCAUUUUGCACAGUCUGUUGCUCUUCAUAAUUCAUUUUCUGCACUUUCAGAGUGUAAUGGUGUUGUGGAGAGAGGCACUGAGGCUAGUGGUGUUGUGGAGAGAGGCACUGAGGCUAGUGGUAUUGUGGAGAGAGGCACUGAG